AGAGUUUGAUCCUGGCUCAGAUUGAACGCUGGCGGCGUGCUUAAUACAUGCAAGUCGAGCGGUAACAGGUGUAGCAAUACAUGCUGACGAGCGGCGAACGGGUGAGUAAUGCUUCGGAAUCUGCCUAGUAGUGGGGAAUAACUAACCGAAAGGUUAGCUAAUGCCGCAUACGACCUAUGGGUGAAAGCGGGGGAUCGUAAGACCUCGCGCUAUUAGAUGAGCCGAAGUCGGAUUAGCUUGUUGGUGGGGUAACGGCCUACCAAGGCUUCGACGGGUAGCUGGUCUGAGAGGACGACCAGCCGGAUUGGGACUGAGAUACGGCCCAGACUCCUACGGGGGGCAGCAAUUAGGAAUCUUGCGCAAUGGGCGAAAGCCUGACGCAGCGACGCCGCGUGAAGGAUGAAGUCUUUCGGGACGUAAACUUCUUUUAUCGAGGAAGAAGAAUGUGACGGUACUCGAUGAAUAAGCCCCGGCUAACUACGUGCCAGCAGCCGCGGUAAUACGUAGGGGGCAAGCGUUGUCCGAAUUUACUGGGCGUAAAGAGCGUGUAGGCGGACUCUUAAGUGAGUGGUGAAAGUUUUAGGCUCAACCUAAAAAGUGCCUUUCAUACUGGGAGUCUUGAGUGUGGGAGAGGCGAGUGGAAUUCCUGGUGUAGCGGUGAAAUGCGUAGAUAUCAGGAGGAACACCCAUGGCGAAGGCAGCUCGCUGGCCUACAACUGACGCUGAGACGCGAAAGCGUGGGGAGCAAACAGGAUUAGAUACCCUGGUAGUCCACGCCCUAAACGAUGAAUGCUAGGUGUUAGUGGUAUCGACCCCACUAGUGCCGCAGCUAACGCAAUAAGCAUUCCGCCUGGGGAGUACGGCCGCAAGGUUGAAACUUAAAGGAAUGACGG
rnacentral:rRNA from 1 species